AUCAACUCGACUCUCAGUUCGCUCAACAAUGUCGUUUCGUCAACACUUUCGAAAAGUAUCUUUCAUCGCUAUAUUAGUUAUCUUAUUUUCAGAGAUGCAAUUGGAUCCUCUAUAUGAGAUCUGUUGGCAUUGGUAACCAGUAAGAGGCAGACGACAGCAGAGAAUCAAGAAUACCGGUCGGACGAACAUAGAAGCGGGUGAGAGUGGGACAAAGAUAAAAAAAGAAAGAGCAACAGCGAGAGGGAAAGGGAGGGAAAAGAGGAAGACGGAGAAUAGUAACGCAGAAUGCCCGGACAACGCUCCCGUGGAGCUGGGGCCAACUAACGGUCCACACCACCACCAUCGGGACCAUCGACUUCGAUGGUCCUCAUCCUUCUCCUUCUUCUCUUCCAUUCGUCUUCCAUUUAUUCGUUUUUCUUUCCUCUUUUGCUUCUUUGAUGUUUCCACAAUAUGCAUUUUAAAAUGCGAUAGUAUUCAUCACAUUACAGUUUAAAAUUUUCUCCUAAAACUGAUUGAUUAAAUAAAAAAAACAUUAACAUAUAAAUAUUCGUUUAUAGCAAAUUAAACAUUUGUAGAUAUUAUUUAAAUAGAUAUAUAAAAUAUUAUAAUAUAUAAUAAACAUAUAUUUAUUUAUAUGUAUAUAAUUUUUUUUAUAGAUUUAUUAGUUAUAUUAUAAAGCAAUAUUUAUUAACAAAUAGUAUUGAAAUAAUAACAAUAUUAUUAUAACAAAUAUUAUAAUAAAAUUAAUAUAAGAAGUGAACAAAAUUAUUUUUAAAGAUAGACACUUUUAUUUAUAAAAAUUAUAUGGUAUGAAGAUGUUCAUAAUAUAUAUACAUAUAAGAACA